AGCUUUCUGCAGCAAGCACAUAUAAUAACUUCAACUCAGAGAUAGACAUUUUGGAGACAUUGCAGGUAAUCUUUUAUACUUUUCUUGGUUCACUCAAGAAUAAUUUAAUAUGCAUUGAUUAAAGAUUAAUCAGGGUAGAUUAAAAGUUACACACAUACAUAACAUAAAAAAAAAAAUUAUAAUAUUAUAGUGUAAUUUAAUAUGUGAUAACAAGUUACAUGCCAUUUUUAUCAACUAGAAAAUUAGUAGCACUUAUGAUAGAAAUUUACUUGUAAUUAUUUGUAAGUGAUAUGAUUAUGUAAAUAUUUUUUAUAUUGCCAAUUUAUUGAACGAAGGGGAGCCUUGGAGCAACAGUAAAUUAAAGUUGUCUCCGCGUGAUCUAUAGGUUCCGAGUUUAAGUGGUAAAGCAACCACUAAUACUUGCAUUAGAUUAGGCUACGUGAAUGCAAAAUAUUUUGUGCACGGACUAGCUUUUUAUUGCCAAUCUAUUAAACUUAAACUCAUUAGGAUAAUUGUGUGUUGCAGAGAGCAAAGGCAUAUGAAGCACACACAAUGCAGAAGCUAAGGAAAGAAGGGGUGGCUUCUUCUAAUCAAAUUGGCCCUCUUGACCACACUUUUGGUUGCUAUCCCCAGUUGCCUUACAACACCUAAAGAUUCUGAUCAAUAUUCAACCAAUAUUUCUCCCACUUAGUAGUAUACACACAUUUGUAAUUUUUGUACACAUGCAAAACUCAGAAAUUCGAUUAAUUAAUAUACUUGUAUCAACCUCACAUUACAGUUCUUGCGUUCGAAUUUAACAAAAUUAUUGAAAUUAAAUAGUACAAACUAUCCUUCUCUUUCAACCUACUUAAUUUUUUUCAGUUUGUUACUGUUUGAGGCUAUUUUCUGUUACUGGUUUUGUUGUUGUUGUUGUUGUUGUUGUUACUAUAAUUGUCUUUCUCCCCUUUUCCUUAUCUCGUCC
rnacentral:lncRNA from 1 species